rnacentral:rRNA from 1 species
UGCAAGUCGAACGGUAACAGGAAACAGCUUGCUGUUUCGCUGACGAGUGGCGGACGGGUGAGUAAUGUCUGGGAAACUGCCUGAUGGAGGGGGAUAACUACUGGAAACGGUAGCUAAUACCGCAUAACGUCGCAAGACCAAAGAGGGGGACCUUCGGGCCUCUUGCCAUCGGAUGUGCCCAGAUGGGAUUAGCUAGUAGGUGGGGUAACGGCUCACCUAGGCGACGAUCCCUAGCUGGUCUGAGAGGAUGACCAGCCACACUGGAACUGAGACACGGUCCAGACUCCUACGGGAGGCAGCAGUGGGGAAUAUUGCACAAUGGGCGCAAGCCUGAUGCGGCCAUGCCGCGUGUAUGAAGAAGGCCUUCGGGUUGUAAAGUACUUUCAGCGGGGAGGAAGGGAGUAAAGUUAAUACCUUUGCUCAUUGACGUUACCC